AACACCACCUACACAAAGGGCUCC
rnacentral:siRNA from 1 species